rnacentral:misc_RNA from 1 species
AAACCCUUUAUUUUUUGUUUCUUUUUUCUUUCUCCGAUCUCUGUUUUGCAGCUUAUAGAUUUCACCAUCAGCCUUUUCUCUUCCCCAGAUCUCUUACAUCAUCGAAACCAGAAUCCCAGAUGCUAUAGUCAGAGGAAGAUAGGAAGUAAAAAUGGUGAAGCUGACAAUGAUUGCCCGUGUCACUGAUGGCCUUCCACUAGCUGAGGGAUUGGAUGAUGGCCGUGACUUGAAAGAUAUUGAAAUAUACAAACAACAAGUGAAGGCUUUGUUUAAGAAUCUCACUACACGCCAAAAUGAGCCUUCAAGGAUGUCCAUUGAAACUGGUCCUUAUGUCUUCCAUUAUAUCAUUGAAGGACGUGUUUGUUACCUCACAAUGUGUGAUCGUUCUUAUCCUAAGAAGCUAGCAUUUCAGUAUUUGGAAGACCUGAAAAAUGAAUUUGAGCGUGUCAAUGGGGCACAGAUUGAAACAGCUGCUAGACCAUAUGCCUUCAUUAAAUUUGGUAGGUCUUUUUGUUUCAUUGAACUUGUUCUUCACGCUUAAUAUUUUGUUGACAUUGUUUUCUAUACCUCUGCUAGGCUUGAUUUUGUUUUCAUGUUUAUGUUUUAAAGAUACUUUCAUAGAGAAAACAAAGAAAUUGUACCAGGACACCCGUACUCAGCGGAAUAUUGCAAAGUUGAAUGAUGAACUCUAUGAAGUUCACCAAAUAAUGACUCGCAAUGUGCAGGAAGUACUCGGUGUUGGUGAAAAACUAGACCAGGUCAGCGAAAUGUCCAGUCGGUUAACAUCAGAAUCUCGCAUAUAUGCUGACAAGGCAAGAGAUUUGAAUAGGCAGGCCUUAAUUAGAAAGUGGGCUCCUGUUGCUAUAGUGUUAGGAGUUGUUUUCCUCCUCUUCUGGGUUAAAACGAAGAUCUGGUGAUCCAGUUGCCUCUACGGUUUCUGAGAAUUGUUGCAUUAUUUUCCUGGGUUUCUCUACAUUGCUGUCAGUUACUUGUGUUCAUGGAGAAUCAUCUGAACUUAAAGGACUUCUGACUGGGGACUAGAUGGUCAUAAAGACUUAAAUCAUCUUUCAAGCUGGACUGUAGUUUUUGUUCAUGGGACACUCUGGUUAACAGGAUUUGUUCUUUAGGUAAGCUCCCAAUGACCAUUUGGAGAUGGGCAAGAGAGACCCUUUGGUUUACAAGGAGCAAAACUACAUUGGAUACAAGCAAAUUUCUAUAUUCUCAAUGCUUUAUAGAGGCUUUAUUGAUCUACAUGAUUAUGGCCAUAAGUAUGUGAUCUACAAUUACAUUUACACGCUUUCUGCAAAUUUUAUAUUACAUCAUGAUUUAUGUGUGCCCUCUUGUCUUUUAAUUAUUAUUUUUUUGGUAGUAUUCUAGCAGCAAAUAAUUUGUCUUGUUAGUUUUUGGGUGCCAUAAUAUCUUUGACCUGCAUUAGUUUUUGUCACGGCAUCUGCUAAACAUUAAAUUUGCCAUGUUCUCAUUGCAGAAAUGGGCAGCCCUUCAUGCUGUCUGCUGGUGAAUACGAUCAUCACUGAAUAGCCUAACAAUAUAUUGCUUAUGAUAGUAUGAUACUACAUGGCAUAUUGAUCAUGUUCUUAAAACAGAUUGCAGGCAUAGCAUUUUUCUGUUUAAAGCAAAGUGGAUGAUAAACAGUUUGAUCAUGAGUUUGUGUGAAAGUAAAUUUAUUUACCUUUGUGGUGAGAGACUUAAUGAUACUUGGUGUUUAUUAUGUGCUUGCCUGUUCGUGUGAAUUGAUUGUCCCUCGAAGUCUACUAGAAUUUCUUAAUGGAAGUGCAAUCUGCCUACUUUGUUCAUUUGGGUUUGAUGGGUUUCGUGUUUAUCUGCACAACAUUACGAUUGGCCCUGGUUGGUUAUAUUCAGCAUGAACUUACCUCCAGGUCUCAGCGUGGUCCAUCAUUAAGCUGCUACUUCGGUGGAAUUGUUUGUUGUCUGGUAUCUCUCGAAGUAAGUGGCUUAAACCAUUGAUGUUUUUCCAGAAAAUUGAGGGAUUAAGCCUGCAAUAUAAGUAUAAAUAUUUUCCUCACCUUCACCUUGCACAACCCACACUAACUUUUCGCCUUUUUCCUUUUUGUUUCAUUUUCAUCUGUGUUGCAAAACCUAGUUCUAGAAAAGUGGCAAUUAGGAAAUCAAAUGGUCUAACGUCUAAGCAUUCAAGUCUGCUAUACCCAAAUGAUUUCUCUUCAUACAUUUCAGCACUUGUAUUCUGCAUUUCCAGGAAACUUAGUAGUAAGAAGAAAAGAGGAGAAAAAUGAACAUGCGGUCAGACAAGAUUAGCGCAUUAGCACAUGUACUUUAAGCAGCAAUGUACUGGCCGUUCAAUUGAAGAAUGAUUUAUUGAGCAGAGCACCAGGACUCUCACAUUAAGUGAGCUCCAUUCACGUGGAUUCAUUUGUAAGGUGCAAAUAAGAUGGAAGAAUUAUGCCCACCAAAUCCGAGAGAGUUUGACAAUGCCACCGUGAUGUUCAAGCGCUCUUUUUUGGCACCAACAAGCAAAGCCUUGUCCUGAAUACAGAAAUAGCACGAUAAAUUGAAGACAAGUACUUGGAGAGGUGUAAAAACUGCACAUUCUGAGAUCAUAGGGUGAGUGGAAGGAAUAAUAUUAAACAUACCACAGCUUUGUCAGGAUUUUCAAGAUUGAUGUUAGGGUGGACCCAUCCUGUUUGUAUUGCCUAUACUUAUAAAAAAAAAAAAAAAAAAAA